ensembl:lncRNA
GAAUUAUCUGUGGAAAGGAAUGUUCCAUUUCACCUUUAGCAAUAAGGACUAAUAUAUGCAGGCUUUUUUGAUGGGGGAGGGAGCUGGUGGAAGGAGAGUAUCAUGGUAGAGAGCGUUUCCCUCUGUUGGGGACUUAGUUGGGACUAAGGAUAUACUUGCUGGAAAUGAAAGGUGUCCUGAGGUAGUACAGAAGCAGAGAUCAGAAGUAUUUGAUGAAAUAUUAGUCCCAGGAGAAGGAAAUCAAAGUUUCCCAUUAAACUCUUGCAGUAAACAAUGUGUUGGUAUGUUUUCCCAUUUGAGACAUUCAUGGAUUUUCUUGGUGGUAUUGUCUUCUGGCAGGGGUCUCCUGGCAGCAGUAUUAGCAGAAAGAGCUUGAACUGAAACGCAGUGAAAAAAGACUCACUUGUGAAGUCUUUAUUUCUGGAGAAAUGGGCAGAUCUGGUAUGUGGAUUUGUACUGAAUAGGUGAAUGUGAAAAAGUAGAAGGAUGCACAUGAAGUGCUGAUGGUGUCUCUAAGUAAUGACACAUCACCUUUCAGGCAGUACAGUUAAUGAGUAAACUGUUCUUUUUCUGACUUAGAUUUUUGAAAAUGGAUUAGAAGCAGCCUAGGCAACAAAGUGGAGGACCUAAAGUAGCGCAGAGCCUGGAGACCAGCUGUUCUCAUAGCAACCUGGCAGAACAGGCAGUCAGAAAAACACAGGUAUUGUAAGACAUGCUUCAAACUCUGUUACUGGUGAAAUAACCAAAAGUACAGAGAGGCUUUAAAAAAAGUAGGUUGUGCAUUCAAAAAGAGCUUCUUGUCAUUGUCCAAAGUCCUUGUUGACUUUUCAGAGUUAAUGUAUUGAAGGUAAGAAGGUAUCUAAAUUAACUGUCUGCUCCAGAAACGUAGUGUGAGCAAAAGGUGCUGCAUGUGUUUAGAAAAGAACAGGUCCAAUUCAGUCUGGUUUUGCUUACCAUAGACCACAAAAAUAUAUUCAGAUACCUGCAAGUAAUUAGAAACUGUCUUACAGGUAUUUGGUUUCAAUCAAAAAAUGUGGCCGGGCCCUAUAGAAACUGCUGAAUUUCUAGUUGUGAAAGACAGUUCCAUGGAAGCAUCAGAUGCCUUGUGUUACUCUGUACUUCUCAUUUCCUAAAUCUCUUGGUUGGUUCUGUACUUUCUUCCAGCAGCGCACAAUGGUUUGUGCAAUUCCAAGCUUAGAUUCUGAGCUGAUUCCUUCCUACACGCUGCUGCACACCUUCCAGCUUUCAUGCCUUAUAAUGCUUUUUUCCCUUCUCACUUCUUAAUUUCUGCAUGUCGUGCAACCUUCCAAUUAACUGUCUGCCAGGGACAUCCUUUUUUUUUAACUUGCCACCAUCUGGCUUAUAUGAGAAUUAAUUGCAUAGCCAAUUAAAUCACAAAUGCUUGAUUUUGUGUGCCUAAGUAGAUGUAGUGUACAUAACCUGACUUGGGCACCAGAUAAAGCACAAGAUGUAAACUAAACCACAGACUUCCUAGAAGGUUUUUAAUACUUAUACAUGAUUUGUACCUCAUAUUAUGACAAAUGCACCAUUUAUCUGUAGUAGUGAAUAAUGACAGCUAACACGCAUAGACUGAUAAAUCUAAUGCUCUGUUUCCC